rnacentral:rRNA from 1 species
UCUUCGGAUGCUGACGAGUGGCGAACGGGUGAGCAAUACAUCGGAACGUGCCCGAUAGUGGGGGAUAACGAAGCGAAAGCUUUGCUAAUACCGCAUACGAUCUCAGGAUGAAAGCAGGGGACCGCAAGGCCUUGCGCUCACGGAGCGGCCGAUGGCAGAUUAGGUAGUUGGUGGGAUAAAAGCUUACCAAGCCGACGAUCUGUAGCUGGUCUGAGAGGACGACCAGCCACACUGGGACUGAGACACGGCCCAGACCCCUACGGGAGGCAGCAGUGGGGAAUUUUGGACAAUGGGCGCAAGCCUGAUCCAGCCAUGCCGCGUGCAGGAUGAAGGCCUUCGGGUUGUAAACUGCUUUUGUACGGAACGAAAAGACUCUGGUUAAUACCUGGGGUCCAUGACGGUACCGUAAGAAUAAGCACCGGCUAACUACGUGCCAGCAGCCGCGGUAAUACGUAGGGUGCGAGCGUUAAUCGGAAUUACUGGGCGUAAAGCGUGCGCAGGCGGUUAUGUAAGACAGAUGUGAAAUCCCCGGGCUCAACCUGGGAACUGCAUUUGUGACUGCAUAGCUAGAGUACGGCAGAGGGGGAUGGAAUUCCGCGUGUAGCAGUGAAAUGCGUAGAUAUGCGGAGGAACACCGAUGGCGAAGGC